UACGGAGGGGGCGAGCGUUAUUCGGAAUUAUUGGGCGUAAAGGGCGCGUAGGCGGCUUGACAAGUCAAAGGUGAAAUCCCUCGGCUCAACUGAGGAACUGCCUUUGAAACUGUCAGGCUUGAGGCCGGGAGGGGGUAGCGGAAUUCCCAAUGUAGCGGUGAAAUGCGUAGAUAUUGGGAGGAACACCAGUGGCGAAGGCGGCUACCUGGACCGGUUCUGACGCUGAUGCGCGAAAGCGUGGGUAGCAAACAGG
rnacentral:rRNA from 1 species